rnacentral:rRNA from 1 species
UACGUAGGGUCCGAGCGUUGUCCGGAAUUAUUGGGCGUAAAGAGCUCGUAGGCGGUUUGUCGCGUCUGCUGUGAAAUCCCGAGGCUCAACCUCGGGCCUGCAGUGGGUACGGGCAGACUGGAGUGCGGUAGGGGAGAAUGGAAUUCCUGGUGUAGCGGUGGAAUGCGCGGAUAUCAGGAGGAACACCGAUGGCGAAGGCAGUUCUCUGGGCCGUAACUGACGCUGAGGAGCGAAAGCGUGGGGAGCGAACAGG